rnacentral:tRNA from 1 species
CAAGGAAUAGUUUAAUUUAGAAUCCUAGCUUUGGGAGCUAGGGGUUGGAGUUAGAAUCUCCCUUCCUUGA